AGUGGGGGAGCGAAUUGUUUUGGUUAAUUCCGAUAACGAACGAGAUUNUANCCUGNUAAAUUANAACAUUCCAUUCUUUGGNGUGUGGAUGANGAUUUCUUAGAGGGAACAAGUGGCGUUUAGUCACACGAGAUUGAGCAAUAACAGUUCUGUGAUGCCCUUAGAUGUUCGGGGCCGCACGCGCGCUACACUGAAGGACUCAGCGUGCUCUUAUCCUGCUCCGAAAGGACUGGGUAACCCGAUGAACUUCCUUCGUGCUAGGGACUGGGGCUUGUAAUUCUUCCCCACGAACGAGGAAUUCCCAGUAAGCGCGAGUCAUAAGCUCGCGUUGAUUACGUCCCUGCCCUUUGUACACACCGCCCGUCGCUACUACCGAUUGAACGGUUUAGUGAGAUCCUCGGAUUGGACCCGGCUCGGGGGUUCCACCUCCGGUUCGGUGCGCCGAGAAGAUGCUCGAACUUGGCCGCUUAGAGGAAGUAAAAGUCGUAACAAGGUUUCCGUAGGUGAACCUGCAGAAGGAUCA
rnacentral:rRNA from 1 species